rnacentral:rRNA from 1 species
UACAGAGGUCUCAAGCGUUGUUCGGAUUCAUUGGGCGUAAAGGGCGCGUAGGCGGCGCGGUAAGUCGGGGGUGAAAUCUCGGAGCUUAACUCCGAAACUGCAUUCGAUACUGCCGUGCUUGAGGACUGGAGAGGAGACUGGAAUUUACGGUGUAGCGGUGAAAUGCGUAGAUAUCGUAAGGAACACCAGUGGCGAAGGCGGCUCACUGGCCCGGUACUGACGCUGAGGUGCGAAAGCGUGGGGAGCAAACAGG